UACAGGGGGUGCAAACGUUGCUCGGAAUUAUUGGGCGUAAAGCGCACGUAGGCGGUCUGUUAUGUCGGAUGUGAAAGCCCUUGGCUCAACUGAGGAAGUGCAUCCGAAACUGGCAGGCUGGAGUACGUAAGAGGGUCGCGGAAUUCCAGGUGUAGCGGUGAAAUGCGUAGAUAUCUGGAGGAACACCGGUGGCGAAGGCGGCAUCCUGGACCAAUUCUGACGCUGAGGAGCGAAAGCCAGGGGAGCAAACGGG
rnacentral:rRNA from 1 species